AUUGAACGCUGGCGGCAGGCCUAACACAUGCAAGUCGAGCGGAUGAAGGGAGCUGGCUCCUGGAUUCAGCGGCGGACGGGUGAGUAAUGCCUAGGAAUCUGCCUGUUAGUGGGGGAUAACGUCCGGAAACGGGCGCUAAUACCGCAUACGUCCUGAGGGAGAAAGUGGGGGAUCUUCGGACCUCACGCUAUCAGAUGAGCCUAGGUCGGAUUAGCUAGUUGGUGGGGUAAAGGCCUACCAAGGCGACGAUCCGUAACUGGUCUGAGAGGAUGAUCAGUCACACUGGAACUGAGACACGGUCCAGACUCCUACGGGAGGCAGCAGUGGGGAAUAUUGGACAAUGGGCGAAAGCCUGAUCCAGCCAUGCCGCGUGUGUGAAGAAGGUCUUCGGAUUGUAAAGCACUUUAAGUUGGGAGGAAGGGCAGUAAGUUAAUACCUUGCUGUUUUGACGUUACCAACAGAAUAAGCACCGGCUAACUUCGUG
rnacentral:rRNA from 1 species